GAGAGAGUUAGGAGUCGAGGCUUAUGGAGUAGGUGGAGAACGAAAACGACGACAUGCCGUUGUCGUUGUCGUCGUCAUCGUAGAAGGGCGGAAAAUAGGGGGCGGGGGGGUACGGUAUACGAGAAUCCAAGGACUUUAAAACAAAUAUAUCGCGCGUAAAUCCAACGUGGAUAUAAGUCACAGCCCGAAGGGAUGGAUCCCCGAGAUAUAUUCCGUACGACGAGCAGAGCAACAGAGGAGAAAAGAAAAAGGAAAAGAAGAAAAAAGAAGAAAAAAAUCAAAAGAAAAAGAAAGUAGGAAAGAGGGAGAGUGGGAGAUGUAAAAUGUUGAAGGGAAGAAGAAGAAAAAGAAGAAGAGGAGGGAACACACCGAGAGCAAAUCGUCGCUGCUUUGCUUUACAUAUUUCCUGCGGAAUUGCUUCUGUCACUCGGUGAGACUCGGAGUGAGAGAGGAAAUGAAAAAAAGGAGCCCCGGAGGAGCAGUUAUUUAAAGUCGCAUUUCUCUCUUACUUCCUCCUUCCGUCUAUCCCCUGUUUUAACGACAUAAUCUUUCACCGUUUUCUACCAAUUAACGACGGGGACUACUAGUUACAUCGAUGGGAUUUAUUUCUUAUUCGUUUAACGUACUCAACGGUUUAACCAACGUGUAUGAGAAAUAAAAUUCGUUGAUAAGAUUUUUUGCGAACGAUUAUAUUUUCUUGGUUUCUUGUUUUUUUUUUUUUUUAUACGAACGUUAACGUUAACAUAUGAGAGGAGAAAAGGGUCUGUAUUAACUUUUUCGUCUAGCCAAUGUACGUAACGUAAAAGGCUCAUCUUUCGAGCACCUUAUUUCUAGAACAAUUAAAAUUCUAUUGGAAAUAAUUUCUCGCGAAGAAUAACAUUAUAGAGCGAGUCUUUGAGACGCGUAGCACAGCUCGUUCUUAUCCUUUGUAAAAGAGAAAAAUAGAAGAAAAAGAAAUAAAAAGCCGACACGGAAAUCAAGAAAAUUUGGUCGACUCGUGUUACCUCUAUUUUUCAGUAUUCGUUUCACGUCGGCAACGACUUCGUGAUGUACAUCGGUCCAAGAACGGUUGGUUCAUUUUCCGAAUGGCAUCGAAAAUAAGGCGUGAAAGUGUGAAGAAGAAAAAGAAGAAGAAGCCAGCAAGCCAGCAAGCCAGCAAGCAAGCAAGGAUCGAGAGAGAACGAUAACGGUGAAGGAAGGAAUAUUUUUCCGGCAACGGGGGAAACAAAUUACUUGGGAAUUACUCGCCUGGGAUUGACGUUUGAUUGCGGCACUGCAUCUCUGCCGAAGAUCUCCUAAUGACCUCGCACCACCACCACCACCACCAACACCACCACCAUCACCCCGUGGCAAUCGUCGAUAAAAAUCUGAUGGCUCAGCCAGAAGGAAAGUUUCGAUCGCGCAAAAGUUGUGCCUCAGAUCGAGGAAAUCAAAGCGACGAUGAGUGGAUUGAGUUGGCGAUGGCGAUGGGAUGGGAGAGGAAAAAAGAGAAACCACCCUACGAGCUGCGAUAUUGUCCAGCAAAGAGACGACAGGGUGGGAUUCUACCAAGAGUUAUUUCGGCUUUUAUGGGUCGAAACUAGCCUGGGUCAUCCGGCACGGUUCCAGAUGACAAGGGAAAAAAGUGCUGGAGAAGAACGUAGACUCUGCUACUUGUCAACCAAAAGAUAUCUUCUUUUCUUAUAACUCGACAAUAUCUCUGUCUCUACUAUCUUUAGCAAACUUAUAAUCCUUCAUAGGUGAUCUGGAUUUUGUACGCCGUGGCACGUACGAAUACCUACUUCGAAAGCCGGAAGACACAUUUCCGGGAGUUGACAUAACUAAUUUAUCAUGUAACACCUCACGACAACGUAUAACGAUUCUAAAUGAAACAUUCGUCAUAUUAUAUAAAAAAGAUAGUUCGAUUAAUAAAAAGUCGUUGAUUCGCGUUCAACGUAUACUACUAUAAAAGAGGAGCGGAAAAAAAACAAGUGUGUACGCUGAUUACAUAGGUGUUCUUUUAAUUAAAAAAAGAGAGGAGAAAAAAAAAAAUAAACAGGUCACGCGUGUGUUGGAGAAACCAUUCGUAAAAGUAAAUUUCGAGAAUUAUAAUAAUAUGGAGAUUUACUUAACUUUUGUUUCUAUUAUCGAUUUUGACAAAAAUCACAUGGGACGACAAUGUGGCAUUUGAAGGAACGUUGAACGAAGAAAAAGACAGACAGACAGACAGACAAGUAUCGUUACCUAUCUCUACGUAUUGAGAAAAUACCGAAAGAAAUAGAAAGAGAGAGAGAGAGAGAGAGAAAGGAAGAUAAAGAGAUAGGGAAAGGAAAACGUGUCACGAGAUCUGGAUACUAGGAGCUAAAGCCACGGGGGACUAUUAGCACACAUCAUCGACAGUCGGCUCACUGUUCGUGAUGCGUUUGUAUUGUUGUGCCUGGUUGAGCGUUGGCAGGAGGCGUGGUUUCGCGAUAAUUCAUUCUUGAUUGCACGUCUGAUACAUACGACCAGUAAUUAUACCGCGGUGUCGAGUGCAUUGCCCCGUUCACGAAAUCAUUCGCACGUAGUGCUUUAUAUACAU
rnacentral:lncRNA from 1 species